CGCCUUGUCAACAGCACUUGCUUCUGUCCACGUAAACUAAAUAGUCAUAAGCUUCCUUCUGUCUCGGCAAAGUAGGGAGUCAUAAGCUUCCUUCUCUUCCGGCAAAGUAGGGAGAGUCAUUCAGCUUCAUUCUAUUCUGGGAAACUAGGGAGAGUCAUUAAGCUUCCUUAUAUCCCGCAAAGUAGGGAUAAUCAUUCAGCUUCCUCUAUUCUGGCAAAGUAGGGAGAGUCAUUAAGCUCCCUUAUAUCUCAGCAAAGAAGGGAGAGUCGUUAAGCUUCUUUCCAUUCCAGCAAGGAAGAUGGAGUCAUUAAAAAAAAAAAAAAAAAAAAGUAAUUAAAGUUGAGUCAUUAAAAUUAAGUUGGGAAAAGUACGAGCUGUGGGCCAGACCAAAAGACCCACGUCACCUUUAAGGUGGUAAUCUUCACACACACACACAUACACACACACACACACACCUAUUUCUCUUAUUCUCACCUCUACCAGUGAGAAAAGAAUGGCGAAAGAGAAUUAUAUAGAUUUGCGAAAGAAAAUUAUGUAGACCUGCGAAAGAGAAUGAAUUAUAUAGACCUCCUGCUACUGGUAGUGAAAUUAUAUAGGCUCACGUUAAUUAGUCUUCCCCUCAUCUCCUAGCUCCCUCUCGGCUUUUGCCCUAACACCCACGCAAGGAUGAUGGCCAAAAAUAUAAAAUAAAUGAAUAAAUAAAUAUUUCAUUUUUACCUCUACCAGCGAGGAGAGAACACCUCUCUCUCACUCUCGCCUCUCCCAAAAGACAUGGUGUCAGCGAUGAAAAAAAAAAACGUAAAUGCAAUUAGAAAAUUCCUUUAAAAGCAUUAAAAAGGGAUAAUAAGUUAAAUGAGGCACCAUUAGUAAACAAGAAGCAUCAUUCGGCUUGAGUGGAGUAUGAUUGUAAGAAAUUGAGAAGAAAAUGAGAUGUAAGAAAGUGUUUUUUUUUUUUUUUUAUGUAUUAGGGGCACCGGUCAAGGACAAAAAAACUGCUGAGAAUACUGAUUAAUUCUUGCAUUAGAGAUGUGGACAGAAUAGGGGGUGAGAGAGAGAAGAAAGUCUUGUGCAGCGAGGCCGCGGGAGGAUAGGAGGCGUCUUGCAGAGGAAUAAAAGUACCAGUGUAACUACAAAAAAAAAAAAAAAAAUAAAUAAAUAUUUCCGACGUUCUGGCACGGAGAUUAUGCCAUUAUCAAGGAGCUGUGGAUAAAUAACAGCGUGUGAAAGCUAUAUAUGUAAAGAUAAAAACAAGAGAUCUAAAAAUAAAUAAAUAAAAAUAAAUAACUAAAUAAAGAGGGCAGGGUGACUGGAUGUUAUUAAGUUCAGUAGUUAAUUUUCUCAUGUACAUUAAUUCCAAUAUUCUAAUGUUAGCAUUGUUUCAGGAGUCUAAAAUUUCAAAGUAAUAUCUUUCCACACUGAACUAGCAGUUGUUCUCUGACUGCAGAGGCGCAAGUAGAGGGCGGCCGGUCCUGUUCGUAUGAUCUAAGUGCUCAUCUGUCCUGCGUUUUUUGGGGAUAAAUUUUAGAUUCGCUUUUGUGAAUGAUUUUAAAAUGGGUUCAUUUUUUAAGUUCAAGGACCGCCUGCCGACCGACCUAAGAUCAUCUGUUGUUUACAAAUUCACUUGCCCUAGUUGCCAUGUAGGCAGUACUGAAUGUGGGUCCAAUCAACCCGGACGACACCGGGACCCAAUUCUCUACGAGUGCCAAUGAAGUCUAGUUCUUGAGUGUGUGUAGACUUCUUUUUAUCGCGCAAAUAACAGGUGUUUCGUGAUAUUGCAGGCCCUCCACACGUGUCUGAAUCAUUCAGGUCUAUCCUCCAUUGUCUAAUCUUGUCUGGCCACUGGUUGGUAAGGCCUAACUAGGUGCUAAGGCUGGGAUACCUGAGCUUGGCCACCCACUCAGCUCUGACAAGGCUUGCUCCAACUUCCCUGAAGGUUCCUGCAGGAAUGGCCAUUGUAUGUGCUGCAGAGAGUAUUGCUACAGUGGAGCUGUAUGGCCAGAUACCAAUAUGAGUAGCCAGGAGCAGCAGGAUCAGUCUAUCUCGGGUGUGGGGGACCUCAUAUGUGGUGGCAAUAAUCGUCUUGUGGCAAAUGGUUUGCUCCAUAGAGAAGAGAAUGAGUUAGAGUGCAACCAGUGUGGUAAAUCCUUUAAAUACAAGAGUUAUCUUAGCAAACAUAUCCUCACACACAGUGUUGCUCAAAAUUAUUCAUGUCAACAAUGUGGAAAAAUUUUUGCUCAUAAAUCUCAUCUCAACAGACAUACAGUGAGACACAGUGGUGUUAGAAAUCAUGAAUGCAAAGAGUGUGGGAGAAGAUUUACUGAUAAGUCUAAUCUUAUUCAUCACAUCAAAACACAUAGUAGUGUACGAAAUCAUGAAUGUUUGGAAUGUGGAAAAAAAUUCACUCGAGAAACUCACCUCACUAAACACAUCCUGGCACAUAAUGGCGUUAAAGAUUAUGAAUGCCAAGAAUGUGGUAAAAAAUUUACCCAAAAGUGUAACCUCAGCCGCCACACCCAGACACACACCGGUGAAAAAAAUUAUGAAUGCAAAGUCUGUGGGAAAAAAUUUGCUCAAAAGGUAAAUCUCAAUACACAUACCAUGAGACACACUGGGGUAAGAAAUUAUGAAUGUGAUGAGUGUGGGAGAAGAUUCCUUACCAGUUAUUCUCUUAACAGACAUGUCUUCAGACACAGUAACUUGAAGGAGGUAAAGUGUGAUGUUUGUGGGAAGUGUUUCAAGACAAAGGAUGACAUUGCUAGCCACAUAAGGGUCCACUUGUACCCAAAGAAACAAAAAAAAUGUAAAAUGAAACUUUAAAAAUGGAAAAGAAGAGGAAAAAGAAAGUUGUUAGCACAAAUGUUGAUGCUAGUAUCAAAUCUUAUUUUCUUAUGUUCUCCAAGAUUAUACAUUUUGAUUUUCAUCUCUUCAUUGUUUUAAUUUUUUACUGCUUACUUUUAUGAUACUUUAGUACUGUGCUUUUUCUUUAGCUAGUAUCUUCUCCUUUCAGCUUCUCCCAUUAGGGGUUAGUACAGCAGAUCACCCUUCUCCAAUAUGUUCAGUCUUCAGCACCUUCCUUUGUCACACCCACCACUUGCAUGUCUUCUUUCACUAUAUCCAUAAAACUCCUCUUUGGUCUUCCUCUCUUCCUUCUGCUGGAUAGGUCCAUUUCUAGCAUCAUCCUUCCCACAUAUGUCUCAUCCCUUCUUCUGACAUGUCUGAACCAUCUCAGUCUUACCUCUCUUGCCUUGUUCCCAAACCAGCAUUGUGUGUUGUCCCUCUGAUGUGUUCAUUCUUUAUUUUGUCUCAUCUUGUUACUCCAAGAGCACUGCAUUGUAGCAUCUUCAAUUCUGCUACUUCCAUCUUCAUCUCUUGUCUCUUUGUUAUUAGUAGUUUCCAUAUCAUACAGCAUGAUUGUCCUCACUACCAUUUUCUAAACCUUUCUGUUUCUGUUUCUACACCUUUCAGUUUGUUCUUGUAGAAAUGUUUCUGUCACAUAUCACUCCUGUCACCCUCCUCCAGCCAGUCCAUCCAGCCUACACUCUCUUCUUAACUUCACUAGCACAUUCUCUAUUCCUCUGUACUGUUGAACCCAAGCCAACCUUUAUCAUCUCUACACCCUGUAGCCCUAUUGUUUCCCAGCUAUCUCUGUUAAGACACAGGUACUCAGUUUUGGACCUGCUCACUUUCAGUCCCCUCCUCUCCAGUGCAUGUCUCCAUCGCUCCAGUUCUGCUUCCACUUCUCUAGCUAUCAUAUUAACUAGGAGUUGCUGUUAACAACCAUAUCACAUAUGAUGAUUAACUCAAGACAAGACUUUUAUUAAUUCACAAACCAAGUCUUAAUUAUUGUGAUGUCAGAUUGGUAGUAACUAGACAGAGACAUGCUAAUGAGGACAGCUGUAUGUAUAUUAAGGAGUUGGUGCAUAAGAAUGGACACAUGGACAUAAGUGAAGUAGCUAAAGAUCAUACCUUAAGAAAUGUAACGAGCUGUUUGCUCUGGCAAACAGCAUAGAACAUAGUACAUAUUGUGACCUAUAUAGAUGCUGUUUUUCUCUUUGUAUUUUCAUAACUGUAUAAAACGUGUACUGUGACAUAAGUCCCUGUUGUUUUUGUUUAUUUUUGAUGAUAAUGUAUGUGUUUAUUAAUGUUAUGAAAAUAAAAUAUGAAAUCUAU